rnacentral:rRNA from 1 species
AUUGAACGCUGGCGGCAUGCCUUACACAUGCAAGUCGAACGGCAGCACGGGGCAACCUGGUGGCGAGUGGCGAACGGGUGAGUAACGCAUCGGAACGUACCUUUCAGUGGGGGAUAACGUAGCGAAAGUUACGCUAAUACCGCAUAUUCUGUGAGCAGGAAAGCAGGGGAGCGCAAGACCUUGCGCUGAUUGAGCGGCCGAUGUCAGAUUAGCCAGUUGGUGAGGUAAAGGCUCACCAAGGCGACGAUCUGUAGCGGGUCUGAGAGGAUGAUCCGCCACACUGGAACUGAGACAUGGUCCAGACUCCUACGGGAGGCAGCAGUGGGGAAUUUUGUACAAUGGGGGCAACCCUGAUCCAGCCAUGCCGCGUGAGUGAAGAAGGCCUUCGGGUUGUAAAGCUCUGUCGGCCGGGAAGAAAUCGCACGGGCUAAUACCCUGUGUGGAUGACGGUACCGGAAUAAGAAGCACCGGCUAACUACGUGCCAGCCGCCGCAGUAAUAC